rnacentral:tRNA from 1 species
GGCUCCAUAUUGUAAUGAUUAGCACGUCUGCUUUACAUGCAGAAGGUCCUGGGUUUGCAUCCCAGGUGGAGCCA